AUGCGCAUGUGCACGACUUCCCAGGCGGCCACCGCGGCCGCUGAGCAGCUGCCUUGUUGCCCCGGGAGGCUCCCUUCCAGUAAUGCAGGGGAAGAGUCUGUAACACAUCGCAGUGACACGCAGGGCAACAUAAGAUGCUCCUCGAGAAGACAGUGGUCAGCCCUCAGAUACUGGGUCAAACCUGAUAAUUCAGAGAUGCAUUACAGAAUUCCAGCCAUUCAACAAACUACAGAAGAGCUGAGACACAGACAACUGAUCAAACAAGUAACAGUGGACAAAUAAGAGGAGUAAAACAAAAUGAAACAGUAGCAUCUGGAUUAUGAGAAGAUGUUUUUCCAAGAAAGUUAUAUCUGAAUGGAGUUUUGAAGAAUAAAUAGCAGUGAACUAGGACA
rnacentral:lncRNA from 1 species